UCAAGAUACAACAACUAUGUCGGCUAACCAGUUGUUGGGUUCGUUAAGUUCUCAUGAGCAGAGAAUGAACCAGACAGCGAGUAGUAGUAAUCAAGAACAAGCUUUGCAAAGCAGCUAUGUCCCAGUAAAUCGCGGUGGCAGUCAAGGCAACAACAGCCAUGGACGCGGUGGCGGACAAGGUAGCGGGCAAGGUGGAGGAAAUUGGAAAAAUAAUUCUUCUGGUAAAAUUGACAAGUCCAAAGUCAAAUGUUA
rnacentral:lncRNA from 1 species